ACAAACUCUGGGCAAAAUUCACCCAAUAGCCGUAAUCCAAAAUGGCAGCUGCUAUAGUGCGAAGUGUAGGCUCCGCUUUAGGUAAAAACCUCAGAGAAAUUCGAAUCCACCUCUGCCAGACAUCUGCGGCCAGCAAGGGGACGAGAGACUUUGUGGGGCAGCAUUAUGUGGACCUGAAGCAAGCCAACCCAGACUUCCCCAUUCUGGUCCGAGAAUGUUCGGGUGUGGAGGCCCGUCUGUGGGCCCGCUACGAUUUUGGGAAGGAGCGCAGCAUCUCCCUCGACAACAUGUCUGCCGAUCAAGUGGCCAAAAGUCUGCAGACGCUGCUUGCUUAAAUAAGUGAAAAAAAUAAAUGAGGCAGUUCUGUGAGGCCCAAGGUCCACAAUUGUCCACACUGGAGUUCUCCUGCAUUGCUCUUAUGUGAUUGACACCAGUAUCGGCUGCAGCACCAGCUGUUCCGGGAGAACCUUCGGCAGUAACUGCAGUGUCCUGAGGAGGGCAGCAGAGUAUAGGUACGUACAGGCACACCAGAGCUAAGACAAACAAAAGAGGACCUCUCAGAAAAAUAUAUGAACGAAACCACUGGAGAAUAGUUUCCUUUAAGACCUUUGGUGGGAUGGAAUUCUUAUAUAUUAGCAUUAGGUCAGUUGAUUUGAAGAAAGAGUAUUUCUGCUAAUGUGCUCAUCAAGGUCAGACUGAUUUCGUAGCAGAACAACCUAUGCUGUGUUAUGACCAUUUGCUUGUGGCUUGAGCCCCUCUGUCUCCAAAACAUGUUUCUCCAAUGGCGUUUUCAUGUCAACAGGUUCUGAUUAACCCGGGAUAUGUCCUUGUACCUGGUAUAGUCCUGAUGCUGUUUGAAUAACUAUGCUUCUGUCCUGUCCUUUGGGGGGACACUUGUGGCAGUCUUUCCUUCUGCAGAAUAAAUACCCAUA